CUUUAGAAUUACUUCUGGAAAGUACUGCCAGCCUUCCUGGGCUCCCACGCCCUCCAAAAGUACUUCCCAAGGGACCCUCUCAACCAUGGUCCUAAAGAGGUUCAAGUUUGCUCUCCGGCAGUCCAAGGUGGCAGUUCUGCUGACUCCCCUCCGUGGUUCAACAAGGAUUGAGAAAUCUAGCAUCUCACGAUCCCUUUGCCCCAGGCGGCCUCCAGCCUUGACAUCCCCCACGAGACCUUCUCUGUUAACAAACAGCAGGAUUUUGCUUGCCCUUGCUGGCUGCCUCACCAGCUGUGUCAGGAAGUGAUCUCCCACACACUCGAGGAACCUCUGGGACUGUUCCCUAUCUGCUGUAUUAUAAAUCCAGCAGAUGUCUGGGACUUUGCAAUAGCCCACAAGAACAAGGGGAGAGACCUUGAGACCUCCUGCGGCUGUGUCUAAAGUGUCUUGCCCACCUCUUCAUCCUGGUUGGGUGGCCUGUAGCACACUCCCACGAUAAGGUCAGUCUUACUGGCCUUUGCUUUUCUUCUGACCUAGAAGCUCUCAACCCUAUCAUGGCCAUCGUUCAUUUGCAUACAUUCCCAUUCUUUCUUAACGUAGAGGGCUGCACCACUGCCUUUCCUGCCUUGCCUCUCUCUUUUGCAAAGUCGCUAGCCAUCCAUCACAGCACUCCAGCUGUGCAUUGUGAUCAACUUAAAAAAGGAACGCAUGAAGAAUAGCUUUGUUUGCAUUCUGGUAACUGCUGAGGCUUUGGCUGAGGACAGCUUUCAGCUGCACCUGAACUAGGCUGGAUUUGUCUCCUGCUCUCCAUAGGCAGAGAAGUGCCUCCAGGCAGUUUGGAGAACUGCUGGCUCAGGCUUCACCUCCACUAGUCCAAGUUCAGUCACUUUCCUCUGCAGAACCUGCAUCAAGCCGUGGUUUUAAGCUGCAGAUGGAGUUCUUCUCGCAGGACUGAAGUGCUGAAGCUCUCUGAGCUCCGAAGGCACCCUGAACUCAUGUGAGUGUGACUGGCUGCUUUGCUUUUGGCAAGAGACCCUUUAGAGCCCCAGAGUGCGCUGUGCAGAGUCUCUAAGGAGAGGACUCCUGAGGCCGAAUUUAUUUGUAUCCCACGGGAGGCUUUUUCUUGGUUGGCAACGUGCUUAAAAAAGAAAGAAAUGCAAAUGGGCAUUUCCAUGGACUGUAUUGUGCUCAGUGCAGUGUCUACCUGUGUUGCAGAAUGAGCUCCAUGGCAUUGCAAAGAAUGCACCAAAGUAAGUAGUGCAGGAAAGCAUUUUUUCCAGUUAGAAUGUUGGCCUUCCAAAGCAGGCCUGCCUUGGUUGCACUGGCUUGCAUCUCAGCUGGUGUUCUGUUGUCAGGGUUCCCGUAUUUCUAGCGGUUGGCAGGGAGGUGACUCAUGCCAUCGUAAGGCCGUGGCGAUGUGACGGUAAGAAUGUCCCAUGUCAAGUAAAAGAUGGCUGUGUGGGACGAGGGGAAGCCAUGGCCUGACAGCUGCCCUUCUGGUCAGCAGUGGGAUUCUGCGGGGUCCCUUAGAAGGCCAUUUCUCUGUAAUGCUUUCUCUGUUGGUUCCAGUCAAGAUGUGGCCGUUGUAUGAAGUAAGUUUGUGGUUGCUGUGAAGCUGGGAGGAAUGUUGACUGCCUUGGGGGUUGAGAGGCCUUGCAGCAAGAUGUGGAGAAAUGUGAGGGCGGUCCCCAUCUGCAUGAAGAAGAGCAAGCGCUGCGUUCUGCACCUGGGAUGCGGCAGCCCUGGCUAAUGUCUGCGUGUGGAUGAAUCGCAACAGGAUCCUGGGAAUUUUUAAGAAAGGUAGGAAGGAGGACCCGGGGAACUACAGGCCGGUGAGCCUCACCUCUGUGCCUGGGAAGAUCAUGGAGCAGAUCCUCCUACAAGAGGAAGAAACUUACAGGAGAAAAAAACUACAGGAAAGAUUGUUCACGUGUAAUGAAAAGCUAGUGUCCAGAAGAUCACUGCGGCCAGAUGCCAAUUUUGAUGCCCUCGUCAGUAAGACUUGUCCAAGCCCUGAUGUAUGUGAAGCUCAUCAGGAGGGAAUGCUAGCAAGAAUCAGCUAACACAAUAGCAGCAAGCUUUCAGUGACAGCGUUCAGGAAGGGUGGCGAUUCAGGCUGGGAGCAGGGUGUAAGAGAAUGAACUCUGUAGGAGCGCUGCUGUCAUAGGCCACCAAGGGCCCGGGAUGCCUGGCUGAAAUUGGAUGUUGCAGAUACCUUGGUGUCACUGGAAUCCAUGGAGCUGACACAGUCCUCUGAUGGCUGGAUUUCUGCUUGCUAAGGGUAUUCCUUCUGGUUUCUUGGCUUUUCAGGUGAUUUUUGCUUUGCUUUCCUUGGCUUUUUAGUACUUCCUCCUUCUGUUAUUGCUCCUGGCUUUGUUUUGCUUUGCUCUUUGGUUUUUCUUUUGUAUCUUUGCCUUGCAUUGCUCGAGAAUUUUCGUUUCUUCCUUCUCUUCAGUGCUAAGCAUUGGUGAGUGUUUUUCUCUUUGUACUGUGUUUGGCUUCUUUGGUUUGCCACGAUAUACACGAGUAAAGCAAAUGAAUGGAAUGCAGUAUGGUGACUUGUUUGAAUUGCUUUGUUUUCCUCGUUUGGUUGUUUUUCCCCUGUUGCUUUUCAGUAGUGCGCCUUUUGCUUUGCUUUCCAUUGUCUUUGUGUCUGGUUGGUUUUUUUUGGUUCUUUGUUCUCGUUACCUGUUCCUUUCUUUGCAUUAGCUUCUUCCUCCCAGAGGAGAGCAUUCCUUGCCUUUUCAGAGGAUGGUUCUUGGCUUUGCUUGGAGUUUCUCCCUUGCUCUUCAUUCUUGGUUGCCUUACCUGGCUUUGCCUUCCUUGUCCCCUUGCCCCGGCCUUGCUCUUCCUUUGCCUUCACUUACCUGAUGUGCUCUCUCCCUUGAUUGUUCUCUUCUGUCUGUUCCUUUCUGGCUUCUUGAACUGCAGCCUCCUCUCUGGGCUUUCCUGCCGUGCUUGAUGCAUUUGCAGCUCCUUGGAGUUUCCCAGGUGGGUCCACGCCUCCUGGGCCUCCUUGCCUCUUCCCUUGUGGUGCUCUUGUGGCUUUUUCUCCAGCUGGCUGGAUCCAUGCGGGCCUAUUGCCCCAUUUUCUCGGCAUUGGUGUAUGUGGAUUGUUCUCUGUCAUCUUCCCAGGCCUAGAUGCUGAGCUUUUGCCUCUUCCAGGCUCUGUUGUCAUCUUUGCUUUUCCGUGAGAGUGUAUUCUGUUCUGUUAUUGUUGGUUGCUUGUUUUUGAAUGUGGUGUUUGUUGUUGUUUCAUUUAUUGUUAUUGGCUUUCUUUGAUGUGCGUGGGGUUUUUUGUUCUUUUUUUCAGUUUGGUGCUUUUUUUUUCUUUGCUGUUCCUUUCUUUGCACUGUAUUUUUUUCCUAGCAGCGUUUCUAUUCCUUUCUCUUCUACUAGAAAUUGUAGCUCCUAACACUAAUCCAAGUGUAUAAACCAAAAGUCUGAACUCUAAAUCACACAGGUGUAUGGGAACUGUAUAAUCACAGCCUGACCCUCUGUUUGACCACCUGAGGCGAGUGCUGAGUCAGCUGCAGGGGCACAGGUGAUGGCAGUUUCAGCUGAGUGACCGGAAGGGGUGGACCCUGGCUGCAGCCCUGCUAGACCCCAUGUAAGGGCUGACUCCCAAGGAGGAAGGAUCUCUACCUGGAGGUCACCCUUAGUGGAGCCCUUCUGCGCGCCCAGGGUACGGGUAAGCUUUUUAUGUCAUUCCUCCUUUGGAAACGCGCUCAUCUCUCUGCUCCUUUACCUGUUUGCCUUACAAUCUGUUUGCCAUACACACAGGUAAUGUUUAACCCUCCUAAUGGGUAGCCCUGAAGCCUUUUCUGUAAAUGCAACAGGGAUGGCGUUAGCCCUCAUCAAGUAAGGGCCACCCUUAGUCCUAACAGCAAAGGGUAGCCCUGAAGGAUUCCCUUUUUGGUUAUGGUUAACUCUAAUCCAAUGUGGUAACCGUUCACCUGUCACUGAAGGGAAGCCCUUCAUCCUAACCUACUAUGGUAACUCUUCAUCCUAAACGCUAGCCUCUAACAGUAACCUUUAAGCCAAUCCUUAGGGGUUUUCCUGAAGCCUUUGCACUGACUGAACUUGGUAGCAUUUCCACGUGAAGCCUUAUCUAAUGCAGUAACCCGCCAAUCUGAUGCCAAAGGGUAACGGUCCGCAGUUAGUAGUAAGACUAAAUAGUAGCACUUAACCGUAAUCCAGCAGGGGAUGAGGCCGAGCUUGUCUUCUGCCAGGGCUGCUCUCAGCCCCAGGGCACGGCGAGCGGCUGCGGGCAGUGCAUCUCCCAGCUGAGGUGCCUGUAGACAUCUGCCAGCUGUCCUUGUGGACGGCCCGUCAUCGUCAUGGAAACUGAUUGUAACAGCACAAAGGUUCCAGGAGCGUGGGUGAUGUCAGCUGUGACAUCCUCUGGGGGGCCUGGAGCCGCCCUUUUUUGGCCUUGCAGCCCAUCAAGCCAAAGCCUGCUGUCCUGCACGUGGUCCCACCGGGCAGAAACUCUUGGGACGGAGGUAGGUUCAGGGGAGGGGACAGAUGCCUGAGGGCAUUCUUUGAUUCCAUCCCGAGAGUUGUCUUUGUCUUUGUUCUUUCCAUGUCGUGUGGUUUUCCUUUGCUUUUCCUUUUGCUAUUUAACUUCUUUUCUUUCUUUUAUGCUUCUUUCUCUGUUGCUUUGCGUGGCAUUGCUUUGUUUGUUUGUUGGGGUUUUUUUUCCCUUCUUUUCAGGCCAAGCCCCAGGGGCUGCUAGGGCAAUGUCCUCACUUGGAGGGGGAGGCUGGGUUUCCCAUCUGAGGGCUUCAUGCACCAAUUGCAAGGAAAACUCAGACACAGAGCAAUGCUAAGCAAAGGCACGCCUUUUCUGAGACACUGUCUCAAGCUCCCGGAGCUCUUUUUUCCUACGAGGUAACUCCCCUGCUUUUUUCCAACUCUUAUUACAACAAGAGAGAUUUCCAUCGCUCUUACAACAGCUCGCCAAAUAAUGUUCUUACCCACAGAAGCUUUCCCUUUUCUCAGUAAGAGUCGCUCUAAUCCCGGGCUGAUUCCCUAAAACCAAGUGUAAUUUUUCUCCUUCGCAGAAACCAGUCACCAACAGAAGUUGUCCUGUUAGCCCACAUCCACCAAAAAUCCCUCAAAUACACUAUUCUUACAGCCAAACCAGACCAUUUUCUGUUCAGUUGCAGUGCACUUGCGGACCGUAUUUCUGGUCUUGUUCCUGCUGAGGUAGUGGUAAAGAAACCCCAGUCUGCCUGACAGCAAUACAUUGCUCAGAGUGAAGCUGCUGGAGCACACAAAAUGCUGUCAGGCGUCCGAGCUGAGCAACAGACUUCAUUCCUGAAUUGCACAGCUACCAGUAGAAGUGACCUCCACGCUGUUUGGCCUGUCCAAGGAGUUCACGCAGCUCUGAGUACCCCCAUUUCUACACAGAGUGGUAUCCCCCAUCGGCUAUCAGCUGCUACUGUAAGCUUUUUUUUGCUGCUUGAAGCCAGAGGGGCCAGACCCAGCUGGCCCUUAGGGACCUCCUUUGACCCAGGCCUCCAACGGAAGUGUACCACUGGUUAACCCAGAAUGGCAACUGUAGACCAAGGCUAUCACGGGCACAGUUUUCAGUUGCCCAGGGGGUGGAAGGGAUUCAGUCCAGUAAAUGAAGAUGGAACUGCUUACCCCUUUGUGAAGAAGAGGGCUCACACCAUACUAAACAAGAGCAGAAUUUGAAGCAGUGAUCCUUCCCUUGGGGCAGCCAGCCCUGAAAUGAGGUGAGGGAGGGGUGGAACCAGGCUGCCCCCCUUUGUCAUCCAGGUGAAUUGCUUCCCUCUUUUUGCUCCUGAGCAGAACAAGAUUUGAUGAGGAGGAAAGCCUGUGAAGUCCAACAAGACUGCUUUCAUACUUCCUUCCCGUUUGUGUUAGCUGGCUGUCACGGAGUGAUCUAGAUCAGUGUAUGCCUGUGGCGGGGCAGUGGGCCUGUUUUCCUGUGUUUGGCUUCCUUGCUUUGCCAUGAUGCUGUCUUGAGUUCAUGUGCUGGACUCUUGUAUUUCGUGUCUUUGUUUUGCUUUGCUCUGUUUUCCUUGUUGUUUGCCGUUCUUUUGUCAGUCUUGCUUUAUUGCUGCUCCUGUGUUGCAAUACCUUGGUUUUGUUCAGAUGUGGUGAUUGAUACUUUUCCCUUUCCCAUUCUUGGAACUCUUUUCUCCCUCCUUCAGGGUGUUCCUCUUUGUUUCUCGGCUUUUCAGGUGAUUUGGCUUUGCCUUCCUUGGCUUUUUGGAACUUGGGAAAAGGUACCGAGGUACAUGGAUAUGGAGAAGAGAAGCUCUCCUGCUGUGGCUGAGAGGUGAUCCAAAGGAGGCCUCCCGAGCAAGCACCGCAAAGGCAGCUUGCUUCUCCAGAGGCUGCAGCAUAAGCUCGUGUUCCUUGCGGAGGACUGCGUUGUGCAUCUGCAGGAGCUGCUUUGGCAUGGAGGAUUUUGUGGAGUUGCUGCCAGUUGUUGCUCGGAUGAAGUGAGGCUUUUGUCCUUGUAUCUGUGCAGGAAAGCAGUGCGGAGGGAACGUGUGUGGUGAGAUGCUGAGGAGAGAUUGCCUCCCUUGCCCCAGCAGGCUGCUUGUGUCCUGGUGAUGCACGGUGACGAGAAGGCUGCUGUUCUGUGAGUAAGCCUGCCACGUGGGAGUAAUGGUUGUGGCCUUUUGGGCAAGUCUCUGAGGAGAGGUCUUUGGGCAGGCUGGUUGUUUUGCUGGGCAAGUGCCAUUUGAGUUGUUUGUUGCCAUGCUUGGUUGGUGCUUGUUUGAGAAAUAGUGGUCCUCUUGACGAGCAGUGCUCUGUCAGCAGGGGAGUGAGAAAUGUCAUGUCCACCCAGUCUUCUCCACGAGCCUUACGCUGCCUUUCCCCAUUGUCUGUAAAUGGCUGUAGAAAUGGCAGGGGGAGAAGUAGGGAAGAGGGUUUCUGUGCAUCUCUUAGCAGGUGUCAGCUCCUAAGAGCUGGGAGCCCUGCAGAGCGUCCUGGCUUUGUUUUGCUUCCUUGUUGGAGCUGUUGGGAUGCUUUUGUGGGUGCUUUGUGCGUUUGAAGUCCCUGUGAACUCUGCAGAGACCAGUGGUGUCCUAGGGAGAGCCCCGCUGCCCCCUUUUUGUUGGGGCUGUUUUCUUCCCUCUGGAGGUUGAAAGGGCCUUCAGAAACCCAGCAGUACGACUUGCUGCUGCUCCAGCCUGUCAAGUGGAGAUGAUGAAGUGUGACGGCCAUUGGGGCAGGGAGGAAAGCAGCUAAGAAAUGGUGUUCCCGUAGACUGUGUGGAGCUUGUUGUUGUGAAACGGUCCCUUGUGCUGCCAGAAUCUCUCUGCCUUUCAGUCAUGGCCUCUUCCUCCUGGCUUUCAAGAUGUUCAGAGGCAUUGCUAAGAAAGAGCGAGCAGAGCUCUUCCUAGGCCAUGGCAGAGUUCACCUUUCCAGGUGUAUGCCAGAGCAUGAAGCAUGGUCAACAAGCACGGGGUAGCAGCAGCUGGAAACAGGGGAAGCUUCCACAGAGCCCCCCGCUGGAGUCCCAGGGUGAUGAGCUGAAGCUGAUUUGGGCAGCAUGAAACCCGGUGGUUUUCCGGGCUGUGUGCCGUAUAGGGCUCAGGGCUGUCACUGGGGUUGCUUUCACAGGACGCCCCCCAGCCCAGCUCAGGACCCACGGAACAGCACAAGGCAACAGAGAUGUUGACAGCAGCGAUGGUGAUGGAGAUGUUGAGAGUGGAGGAGCUCUUGGCUCGCUGCAGCCACCCCAGCAUUCCCGGAGCUCCCUGCUGGCCCCGGAGGAGUCCGAGUGCUCUGUGCUGGAAGAAGAGGAGUCGAGGCUGCUGGAGACAUCAG
ensembl:lncRNA